GACGAACGCUGGCGGCGUGCUUAACACAUGCAAGUCGAACGGAAAGGCCCUGCUUUUGUGGGGUGCUCGAGUGGCGAACGGGUGAGUAACACGUGAGUAACCUGCCCUUGACUUUGGGAUAACUUCAGGAAACUGGGGCUAAUACCGGAUAGGAGCUCCUGCUGCAUGGUGGGGGUUGGAAAGUUUCGGCGGUUGGGGAUGGACUCGCGGCCUAUCAGCUUGUUGGUGGGGUAGUGGCUUACCAAGGCUUUGACGGGUAGCCGGCCUGAGAGGGUGACCGGCCACAUUGGGACUGAGAUACGGCCCAGACUCCUACGGGAGGCAGCAGUGGGGAAUAUUGCACAAUGGGCGGAAGCCUGAUCCAGCAACGCCGCGUGCGGGAUGACGGCCUUCGGGUUGUAAACCGCUUUCGCCUGUGACGAAGCGUGAGUGACGGUAAUGGGUAAAGAAGCACCGGCUAACUACGUG
rnacentral:rRNA from 1 species